UACAGAGGGUGCAAGCGUUGUUCGGAAUUAUUGGGCGUAAAGCGCGUGUAGGCGGCUUUGCAAGUCGGGUGUGAAAGCCCUCAGCUCAACUGAGGAAGUGCGCCCCGAAACUGCAGAGCUUGAAUACCGGAGAGGAUGCGGAAUUCCCCAAGUAGAGGUGAAAUUCGUAGAUAUGGGGGAGGAACACCGGUGGCGAAGGCGGCCCAUCUGGACGGAUAUGACGCUGAGACGCGAAAGCGUGGGUAGCAAACAGG
rnacentral:rRNA from 1 species